rnacentral:rRNA from 1 species
AGAGUGAACGCUGGCGGCAGGCCUAACACAUGCAAGUCGAACGGCAGCACAGUAAGAGCUUGCUCUUAUGGGUGGCGAGUGGCGGACGGGUGAGGAAUACAUCGGAAUCUGCCUAGUUUGUGGGGGAUAACGUAGGGAAACUUACGCUAAUACCGCAUACGACCUACGGGUGAAAGCGGAGGACCUUCGGGCUUCGCGCAGAUAGAUGAGCCGAUGGUCGGAUUAGCUA